rnacentral:rRNA from 1 species
GACAGAGGGUGCAAACGUUGCUCGGAAUUACUGGGCGUAAAGGGCUCGUAGGCGGCCAACUAAGUCGGAUGUGAAAUCCCCAGGCUCAACUUGGGAACUGCAUCCGAUACUGGAUGGCUUGAAUUCGGGAGAGGGAUGCAGAAUUCCAGGUGUAGCGGUGAAAUGCGUAGAUAUCUGGAGGAAUACCGGUGGCGAAGGCGGCAUCCUGGACCGACAUUGACGCUGAGGAGCGAAAGCUAGGGGAGCAAACGGG